rnacentral:rRNA from 1 species
CCAGACUCCUACGGGAGGCAGCAGUGGGGAAUCUUCCGCAAUGGACGAAAGUCUGACGGAGCAACGCCGCGUGAGUGAUGACGGCCUUCGGGUUGUAAAGCUCUGUUAAUCGGGACGAAAGGCCUUCUUGCGAAUAGUGAGAAGGAUUGACGGUACCGGAAUAGAAAGCCACGGCUAACUACGUGCCAGCAGCCGCGGUAAUACGUAGGUGGCAAGCGUUGUCCGGAAUUAUUGGGCGUAAAGCGCGCGCAGGCGGAUAGGUCAGUCUGUCUUAAAAGUUCGGGGCUUAACCCCGUGAUGGGAUGGAAACUGCCAAUCUAGAGUAUCGGAGAGGAAAGUGGAAUUCCUAGUGUAGCGGUGAAAUGCGUAGAUAUUAGGAAGAACACCAGUGGCGAAGGCGACUUUCUGGACGAAAACUGACGCUGAGGCGCGAAAGCCAGGGGAGCGAACGGGAUUAGAUACCCCGGUAGUCCUGGCUGUAAACGAUGGGUACUAGGUGUAGGAGGUAUCGACCCCUUCUGUGCCGGAGUUAACGCAAUAAGUACCCCGCCUGGGGAGUACGACCGCAAGGUUGAAACUCAAAGGAAUUGACGGGGGCCCGCACAAGAG